UACGUAGGCAGCGAGCGUUGUUCGGAGUUACUGGGCGUAAAGGGUGUGUAGGCGGUUGUUUAAGUUUGGUGUGAAAUCUCCCGGCUCAACUGGGAGGGUGCGCCGAAUACUGAAUGACUUGGAGUGCGGGAGAGGAAAGUGGAAAUUCCUGGUGUAGCGGUGGAAAUGCGUAGAUAUCAGGAGGAACACCGGUGGUGUAGACGGCUUUCUGGACCGUAACUGACGCUGGAGAACACGGAAAGCGUGGGUAGCAAACAGG
rnacentral:rRNA from 1 species